CCACCUGGUAAACCAGGCAGGACUGGGCAGGUUCGGGGGGCUCCCCCUGCGGCGCCUCGGCUGCUAGUUGGCGUCUCAGCCCCGCGCGCUCCCCGGCUUCCACCCCGCCUCCAGCCCAGAGAAGUGUCUGGGAAGAGAAAAAGUUCUGAUCGUGUAAAAGCGUGGCAAGGCGGAAAAGAGCCAGAGAGCGGCGAAUCUGGCCCUGUCACCCCAGUAGCAGUGUCCCCCAUAGACGGCACCAAGAAGGAUCGCUGUCAUAUCUGCCACAUUGGGACAGCAAUCAGUCCUGCUAGGCACUGCUAUCCCCACUUUCUUUGCUUCGCAAGUUUGCAUAUGGUGUUAAACGAUUGCAUAGUGUUCAGUGGCAGACAUAUUUAACCCCUGACAUGCUUUACGUAGGCGGGGGUGGGGGAGGGGGGGAGGUGUUGCAAUUAAUGUUCUCAGACAUGGACUGGAAAGGGCCCUCUCCUCUCUGGAUGGCACAGGGUUAAAAUGUUUGCCUGCAGUGGGUACUAUCAAAGGUAAGCAAAAUAGCAACAAGGCAACUAAAUAAAGAAGGUGACAACACAGCAUCAAGAUGAAGCAACCACGCAGCCCAGUGUUGUUUCUAUGAAGUGAUGACAUCACCCAGACUUCUGAGAUGCAGUUUGCAAAACCACUGCCAAGGGAUUAGAUGUAUUUUUUUCUUGAAGUGGUUUUAAUGGAAUCUUGAAAUGCCAUUGUAAUUUAAGAUAUUAAGAGUUUCUCCUUUUAAACACUGGACUAUACUCCUGAAAAGGAGAAAUAAGUGAGUCUUGGUAAACAAAGAGAAAUAACAUUU